AGAGUUUGAUCAUGGCUCAGAACGUACGCUGGCGGCACGCCUAACACAUGCAAGUCGAACGAAGUAGCAAUACUUAGUGGCAGACGGGUGAGUAACAUGUAGGUAUCUGCCCUUUGGCCUGGAAUAACACGAGGAAACUUGUGCUAAUACCGGAUAAGUCUUUACGGAGAAAGCUUUAUGCACCAUUGGAUGAGCCUGCACUUGAUUAGUUUGUUGGUGGGGUAAUGGCCUACCAAGACAAUGAUCAAUAGCUGAUUUGAGAGGAUGAUCAGCCACAUUGGGACUGAGACACGGCCCAAACUCCUACGGGAGGCAGCAGUAGGGAAUCUUGCACAAUGGAGGAAACUCUGAUGCAGCGAUGCCGCGUGAGUGAAGAAGGCCUUUGGGUUGUAAAGCUCUUUCGUCGGGGAAGAAAAUGACUGUACCCGAAUAAGAAGGUCCGGCUAACUUCGUGCCAGCAGCCGCGGUAAUACGAAGGGACCUAGCGUAGUUCGGAAUUACUGGGCUUAAAGAGUUCGUAGGUGGUUAAAAAAGUUGGUGGUGAAAUCCCAGAGCUUAACUCUGGAACUGCCAUCAAAACUUUUUAGCUAGAGUAUGAUAGAGGAAAGCAGAAUUUCUAGUGUAGAGGUGAAAUUCGUAGAUAUUAGAAAGAAUACCGAUUGCGAAGGCAGCUUUCUGGAUCAUUACUGACACUGAGGAACGAAAGCAUGGGUAGCGAAGAGGAUUAGAUACCCUCGUAGUCCAUGCCGUAAACGAUGUGUGUUAGACGUUGGAAAUUUAUUUUCAGUGUCGCAGCGAAAGCAAUAAACACACCGCCUGGGGAGUACGACCGCAAGGUUAAAACUCAAAUGAAUUGACGGGGACCCGCACAAGUAGUGGAGCAUGUGGUUUAAUUCGAAGAUACGCGCAGAACCUUACCAACACUUGACAUGUUCGUCGCGACUCUAAGAGAUUAGAGUUUUCGGUUCGGCCGGACGAAACACAGGUGCUGCAUGGCUGUCGUCAGCUCGUGUCGUGAGAUGUUGGGUUAAGUCCC
rnacentral:rRNA from 1 species